AGCCCUAAGAAUUAAUUUAGGGUGAUACCUGCCCAAUGACAUAGUUUAAUGGCCGCGGUACUUUGACCGUGCUAAGGUAGCAUAAUCAAUUGACUUUUAAAUGAAGUCUGGAAUGAACGGGGUAACGGAAUUUAGCUGUCUCAUUUCUUUCUAAAGGAACUUACUUACUAGGUGAAAAAGCCUAGAAAAGAAAAAAGACGAGAAGACCCUAAGAGUUUAGUAUUUUGUUGGGGCGACACGGGAUCUUUAACAUCCCUAAUACUUAUGUGUCGGAUUUUUCAUGGCUAGAUAAACUACCUUAGGGAUAACAGCAUAAUUCUUUUGAGUUUGUGACCUCGAUGUUGGACUAGGAAGCUUUUGGGCUAGCUGCCUAAAUAGGGGAUUCUGUUCGAAUUUUUACUCCU
rnacentral:rRNA from 1 species